CUCCAGAGAAGGAGACUCCAUCACACUUCAAGGCAGUAGUGUAUCCCACAACUGAGGAGCUCUUACCAUCAGAAAGGUCUUCCUACGGUUUGGAAGGAUUUAUUUUCCUCUUUACCUUUUAACUUAACAAAACCUAACCAGCUCCACAUGCCACUUCUCACAGCGAUUUGUACCUUCCGGACCUUUGGCCAUAUUGGUCAUUCUCCUCUGGACACAUCCAGAACUAGACACAAGACUAUUUUGGAACCCAGGAAAUCAGAAAAGUAGUUUUGGCAGAACAGACAAGAAUAAAGAAUAAGGAAAAGAGAAGAGGAUUCCCAAGAGACACUCUUUCUCUCCUUUCCCCAUGCCGAAUCAUAUUUCACGUAAACCCAUCUCAAUCUAUAAAAUGUCGUCCC
rnacentral:lncRNA from 11 species